UACGGGGGGAGCAAGCGUUGUUCGGAUUUACUGGGCGUAAAGGGCGCGUAGGCGGCGUGACAAGUCACUUGUGAAAUCUCCGGGCUUAACUCGGAACGGCCAAGUGAAACUGUCAAGCUAGAGUGCAGAAGGGGCAAUCGGAAUUCUUGGUGUAGCGGUGAAAUGCGUAGAUAUCAAGAGGAACACCUGAGGUGAAGACGGGUUGCUGGGCUGACACUGAGGCGCGAAAGCGUGGGGAGCAAACAGG
rnacentral:rRNA from 1 species